rnacentral:rRNA from 1 species
AUAGCGAACAAGUACCGUGAGGGAAAGUUGAAAAGCACUCUGGAGAGAGAGUCAAAAGACCGUGAAACCGUUCAGAGUAUAAGCCCAUGGCAGCUUGGAAGGCAUAUCGCGAGCGGGGCAUCGGUCUUCCUUCGCGGGGAGCCGGUGUUACCUUGCUUCUGUUGUGGCUCGUCAUGGUAGGGGGGUCAGGUCCACAUCCCGCCGUCGUGUGGGAAGUUCUCGGGCGUGUCGUUGCUUUGCGGUUGACUUCGGUUGGCCGCGGGGCUCUUCGCGCUUGGUUCUUCUUUAGACACGGACGUUCAGACUCAGAGGCAAGAGGCGAUAACCAGCCCACCACGGCACGUUGUGAGGUCACCCUCAGGCUCAGCUUUCGAUUGUGGGCCUUGACGCCGAGCAAGCACAAUGCGUGUCGCAGAUGUUCCUAACCUGGCAACUGGGCCGGACAGUGGGACGACACGCGCUCAACAGUCAGGUCCGGGCGAUGAAAGAGUUCUGGUACGAUCCUCUUGCGACGAGCCGGCUUCUGGCCGACUUCCGAUGCUCAGGUCUCCCGCAUGUGCCGCGGGAGAUCGCCUUGACGGUCUGGACCUUCACAAGUCCUCCUAGUCGGGCAACGGAAAGAGUGGUGUAAAGUCCAAGCCCAUCGGUCACGUCUCGAAACACGGGCCAAGGAGUAUAGCAUGUGUGCAAGUCUAAGGGUCUCACAAAACCCGGAGGCGAAGUGAAAGCAAGUUUGCGGCGGGUGAUCUA